rnacentral:snRNA from 1 species
AUGGUUUUGCAGUACCAUAGCCAAUGAGGUUUACCCGAGGCACGAUUAUUGCUAAUUGAAAACUUUUCCCAAUACCCCACCGUGACAACCUGAAAUAUGAUUGUGCCUAACAUGCAAUUUUUCACAGAGAUCUG